rnacentral:tRNA from 1 species
UCUUCCUUGGUCUAGUGGUAUGAUUCAAGCGAUCUCGAAAAGGGGAGACCGGGGUUCGAUUCCCCGAGGGAGAG